UGGCUCAGAACGAACGCUGGCGGCAUGCCUAACACAUGCAAGUCGAACGAGGGCUUCGGCCCUAGUGGCGCACGGGUGAGUAACGCGUGGGAACCUGCCCUGUGGUACGGAAUAACUCCGGGAAACUGGAGCUAAUACCGUAUGCGUCCUGUGGGACAAAGAUUUAUCGCCAUGGGAUGGGCCCGCGUAGGAUUAGCUUGUUGGUGGGGUAACGGCCUACCAAGGCUUCGAUCCUUAGCUGGUCUGAGAGGAUGAUCAGCCACACUGGGACUGAGACACGGCCAGACUCCUACGGGAGGCAGCAGUGGGGAAUAUUGGACAAUGGGCGCAAGCCUGAUCCAGCAAUGCCGCGUGAGUGAUGAAGGCCUUCGGGUUGUAAAGCUCUUUCGCACGCGACGAUGAUGAC
rnacentral:rRNA from 1 species